UUCCUAAUGGUCCAGUGGCUAAGAUUCUGUGCUCCCAAUGCAGGAAUCCUGGGUUCAACUCCUGGUCAGGGAA
rfam:Ovis aries breed Texel chromosome 2, whole genome shotgun sequence.